rnacentral:tRNA from 1 species
GGGGAUUUAGCUCAGUGGUAGAACACUUGCCUAAGAUGCAUGAGGCCCUAGGUUCAGUCCCCA